NNNNUUGUGCAGUGGCAGUAUCGUAGCCAAUGAGGUUUAUCCCAGGCGCAAUUAUUGCUAAUUGAAACAUUAUAUACUCGUAUACUGGCUGUUAUAUACACAGGUAUGUAAUAUAUGUAUAUUAAAGCAAAUGUUAA
ensembl:snRNA U4 U4 spliceosomal RNA